CUGGAUGGGGGCCUGACUCCCAGGCCACAGGGGAAGGGGGCACCCUCAGAUUCCACCACCUGCCGCCUCUCAGCAGCCUUCCCACCUUGCCGGCCCCAGCCCCCCUCGCCCCUCCCCUGCACACACGGCUGCCCCUCCUGCACGCGCACUCCAUUGCACGCCCACUCGCCUCUACCCGCUUCCCUGGGCUGCAGUUUUGCACAGAUUGGCCCUCUCGCUGUCUUGCACACUCGCCUUUGCGUCCAGGCUCCGGGGGCCCCCUCAGCUGUCAGACAUGCUGUUUUCCUGGCACACGUUGCGUUUCGCUCCCUCCUCCGCUCUGCGCCCUCCGCUCUGACUCUGCUCACACUCUUCUGCUGGGACCCUCUUGUGCACACCUCACUUCCUACAGCCUCAGACUCCUCAGCCUCUCUGAACCCAUGAUGCAGACACACGUGGGACACACCUUCCCUGCCCAUCCGGACCCCACCCCCACCCCCACCCCCGCCCCCGCUCCCUGGGAGCCUUCUCUGCUCAGUCCUAGCGUCUGUCCGACUGUCCGUCUGUCGGUGCUCUCUCGUGCAGCCCUCCGCACACAGUUACCUCCAUUUGCUUACGUCGAAGCACUUUCUCUUCUUUAUCAUGAACCCCCAGAUUCUUACUCUACCCACCUCUUCCUCCAAGUGGCACUCUCACCCCUCCCCUGCCACUUUCUCCCUCAACCUCUUGCACUGUCACUUUUGCACACUUGCUUCACAGAACUGUCUCACAAAUGCUCACUCCCCUCCUCUGCCAGGCCCCAUUUCCCUGCACCCCUCUUCUUCAGGCCCUUGUCCACCUCCACUUUUGACUCUCACACACCCUCUUGCACACUCGCCGUCACGUGCACCCUCCCCUGCGUUCUCACUGUUCCCCGGGAGCCUCUUCCUUCUGUGAUGCUUUGCACCCGGGGACCUGCUGCACCCCUCUGCCUUUCCGCUAAUGCAGCUCCCAGGAGAGCGUGCACUGCCCCCUCUUCCUGUUUGCACACCCAUCUCCCCGCUUCUGGGCUGCACUGCCCCUCCUUCUCCUGACACCCUUCUCUUCUGCUCCUGUCCAGGCACAGCUCUGUGGCUGUUCUCACGCUCUGCGCCCCUCCCGCGCUCCUCACUCCCUGGAGAAAGGCCGGUGCUUGCCUGCUCCUGCUCACCAGGCUUCUCACCCCUCCUCUGCCGCCAGCUCCCCUUCUCUUCCAGCUCUCUCCCCUUACUCUCCCUGCCCUUCCUGGGCCACCUGUCCCUCCGUUUUGCACGAGGAUCCCACUCUCCUCCUACCCUCCUCUUCUCUCCUUUCUCUCCCCCUUCUCCCUCCAGCAUGGCUGCUCCGUCCCGCACGCUUCCCCUUUCCCCUUAUUCCUGGGGCUUGGGAAUUUUAAGCCACCCCUACCCCUUGGAAGCCCCCUCCCCUGCUGUGGGUAAAGGGGGGAGGGCAUAGCCCUCAGGUCCCCCCCCACCAUGUUCAGCUGCCAAAGAAGGGAGCUCCCCCUCCGUCCCCCAAGCCCAUUCCCCUCUGCUGCCCCCUACCCCCGAGGGGGGGGGCGCUCCGCCCAUGAGGGGAGGGGGCUGCCCCCUCCCCUCACCACGUCAGGGAUCUGCGGGGAAACUUGCGGGAGGGUUGUGGGAGGGGGGAGGGAUGGCGAGAAGAGGAGCAGAAGUCGCGCUGGGUCCCUACCCGCCCCCUCCCCCUUGUCGGAUGCCCCCCAGUCCGCAGGGGGCCUGCGCGGCACCUGUCUAUCAAGGGCUUGUUCAUUCUGG
rnacentral:lncRNA from 1 species